ACAUACCUGCCCAAUGGACAAGGCAACUGUUUCCCAAACAGUUCAUUGCAGGUUCGAAUCCUGCGUAUGAA
rnacentral:tRNA from 2 species